rnacentral:hammerhead_ribozyme from 1 species
AUACUGAUGAAGAGUCCCAAACUAGGACGAAACGGCUGUCCGGUAC